rnacentral:rRNA from 1 species
AUUGAACGCUAGCGGGAUGCUUUACACAUGCAAGUCGAACGAGUGGUGGACGGGUGAGUAAUAUAUCGGAACGUUUCCAGUAGCGGGGGAUAACUACUCGACAGAGUGUCUAAUACCGUAUUCUCUUGGAGCGGCCGAUAUCGGAUUAGCUAGUUGGUGGGUGAAAGGCUCACCAAGGCAACGAUCCGUAGCUGGUUUGAGAGGACGACCAGCCACAAUGGGACUGAGACACGGCCCAGACUCCUACGGGAGGCAGCAGUGGGGAAUAUUGGACAAUGGGGGAAACCCUGAUCCAGCCAUCCCGCGUGUAUGAGAAGGCCUUCGGGUUGUAAAGUACUUUUGGCAGAGAAGCGGUAUCUGCAGAAUAAGCACCGGCUAACUACGUGCCAGCAGCCGCGGUAAUUC